rnacentral:rRNA from 1 species
UACGUAGGGACCGAGCGUUGUCCGGAUUCAUUGGGCGUAAAGAGCUCGUAGGCGGCUGUUCAAGUCGAACGUGAAAACUCGGAGCUCAACUCCGAGCCUGCGUUCGAUACUGGACGGCUAGAGUCUGGUAGGGGGAUCUGGAAUUCCUGGUGUAGCGGUGGAAUGCGCAGAUAUCAGGAGGAACACCGGUGGCGAAGGCGGCUCUCUGGGACGGUACUGACGCUGAGACGCGAAAGCGUGGGGAGCGAACAGG